rnacentral:lncRNA from 1 species
UGACCUCAGGUGAUCCACCUGCCUCGGCCUCCCAAAGUGCUGGGAUUAUAGGCGUGAGCCACCAUGCCUAGCAAGGUGAUUGUUUUUUGUCUUAUACAGUUGUGGUCUUAUGUUACUAGAAUUUUCUAAUAAAUUAAACUAUAUUUGCAUUAUCUAAAUAAGCCUUAUCAUGAACAUAUAUAUUUUUCAAAUAUUCUCAAGCCUUUAGCUUUUCAGGAAGCCCAAAUAAGAUGACAGCUUUUAUCAUUAAGAAAGUCUGUGAGCCAUAGGACAAAGAGCUGGUGGACUCCAGCUUGUUCUACAGACAUCCCAGAGCCCGGAGGCUUCAGGAAGCAGCAGCAACUUCAUGGCCGCCCUCUAAACAGAGAUCAAGAUUUCUCAAAAGGUUUGGGACAAAUAGUCAAGAUCUCAAAUUAAGCCUGCUCUUCAUCCUGGAUACCCCAUCUGGUGGAUAAUACCGCCAGCACCCCCACCAUCCUCCCAGCCAGAGCCUGGACACCCCCUGAUGCCUCCCUCCUGGGAGACUGAGUGGCGAGGACAGACCUGGUUUGAGUCAUGGCCCAGGACCAGCAUGCUCCAUCUGGGGAGGUGCUCACUCAAUGUUUAUUGAACAGCGAAUACAGAAAAGACAGUCCCUGGAGCUCUAUAUGUGGAAAGUAGCCCUUCUGGACAGAAAGAAUAUUCGUGGUCCAUGUGGUUUGAGUCUGUUAAGAAGGACACUAAGGCACAUGGCUGGUGAUCUUUGCGUCAUAGACACGGGUGAGCUCAUGGUGGAACUCCUCCUUGUCUGUAGGUUUCCAGGCU